AAACGAAACUAUGUGUCAGUAGAAUGGCUGGCACUAGACCCAGAUAUGUGCCUCCCUCCUUCAAAACAAAGCUGUGCACCUGAGAACUGCGACUAUCAGCCUUGAUACCCUCCUCAACCAAGACCUUGCUUUUCUCCAGGCCCCCAUUGCUGUGCGGCUGGGCAAAGUAGCCAUUGACCGAGGAAUGGAGGUGGACAUUGCCUCAGGGAUGGCCAUUGAAGGGAUAUGCUAUGCCCAGAACAUUCCAACCCGGGACCGGCUAGAGGGCAUGGCAGCCUUCAGGGAGAAGCGGCCCCCGAAAUUUGUUGGUGAAUGACCCCCAUUUAACCUUCAGCACGGGAGAUGCAUGCCCUGAAGAGCAGGAUCCAGAAGGAAGAUUUGCAGCUGGACUGCCCUCAUCAUUUCGCCUCUCCAGGCUUCCAUUUCUUCACAAGGAUGAUGAUGGAGAUAAAAUGGCUGGCGUGAUGCCUAGAACCAAGGUGCUGACCCUACCACCUACUGCUACCCUCCUUAUCUUGAUUAGACAUAAUCAAUAGGGUUGGAUUUGCUUUGGAAUAUGCCUCUCUCUACUUGAAUGAUAACGAAUUAAAAUAGAUCCCUCUGGGUCUUGGUAUUAUUGGCUCUCAGCCCCUGACCUCUCUCCUCUCAGUUAUCAGGCACUCACCAGAGAUGUCAAGAGAUUUUAAGAUACUCCUAGUUUCUCCCCUUGGACCAUAGAGGUAAUAAACAAACUCUGACACUGGUUGACCAUGCAGACUGCAGAUCCCAGUCUCAGCUAGUCACUUGCUGUAUAACCUUAGACAAAUUGUUUCAACACUCUGGGCCUCAGCUUUCUCACCUACAAAAUGAAACUUGUGAAGAUUUAGCAAAAUAAAAACAUCUCAUUCAAUAA